rnacentral:rRNA from 1 species
CAAUAGCGUAUAUUAAAGUUGUUGCGGUUAAAAAGCUCGUAGUUGGAUUUCUGCUGAGAACGACCGGUCCGCCCUUUGGGUGUGUAUCUGGCUCUUUCUUGGCAUCUUCUUGGUGAACGUUGCUGCACUUGACUGUGUGGAGCGCUACCCAGGACUUUUACUUUGAGGAAAUUAGAGUGUUUCAAGCAGGCAUACGCCUUGAAUACAUUAGCAUGGAAUAAUAAGAUAGGACCUCGGUUCUAUUUUGUUGGUUUCUAGAGCUGAGGUAAUGAUUAAUAGGGAUAGUUGGGGGCAUUCGUAUUUAACUGUCAGAGGUGAAAUUCUUGGGUUCGUUAAAGACGGACUACUGCGAAAGCAUUUGCCAAGGAUGUUUUCAUUGA